rnacentral:rRNA from 1 species
CCUACGGGGUGCAGCAGUGGGGAAUAUUGGACAAUGGGCGAAAGCCUGAUCCAGCCAUGCCGCGUGUGUGAAGAAGGCCUUCGGGUUGUAAAGCACUUUCAGUGGGGAAGAAAGCCUUGGGGCUAAUACCCUCGAGGAAGGACAUCACCCACAGAAGAAGCACCGACUAACUCCGUGCCAGCAGCCGCGGUAAUACGGAGGGUGCGAGCGUUAAUCGGAAUUACUGGGCGUAAAGCGCGCGUAGGCGGUCUGAUAAGCCGGUUGUGAAAGCCCCGGGCUCAACCUGGGAACGGCAUCCGGAACUGUCAGGCUAGAGUGCAGGAGAGGAAGGUAGAAUUCCCGGUGUAGCGGUGAAAUGCGUAGAGAUCGGGAGGAAUACCAGUGGCGAAGGCGGCCUUCUGGACUGACACUGACGCUGAGGUGCGAAAGCGUGGGUAGCAAACAGGAUUAGAUACCCUAGUAGUC